AUUGAACGCUGGCGGCAGGCCUAACACAUGCAAGUCGAGCGGAUGAAGAGAGCUUGCUCUCUGAUUUGGCGGCGGACGGGUGAGUAAUGCCUAGGAAUCUGCCUGGCAGUGGGGGACAACGUUUCGAAAGGAACGCUAAUACCGCAUACGUCCUACGGGAGAAAGCAGGGGACCUUCGGGCCUUGCGCUAUCAGAUGAGCCUAGGUCGGAUUAGCUAGUUGGUGAGGUAAUGGCUCACCAAGGCGACGAUCCGUAACUGGUCUGAGAGGAUGAUCAGUCACACUGGAACUGAGACACGGUCCAGACUCCUACGGGAGGCAGCAGUGGGGAAUAUUGGACAAUGGGCGAAAGCCUGAUCCAGCCAUGCCGCGUGUGUGAAGAAGGUCUUCGGAUUGUAAAGCACUUUAAGUUGGGAGGAAGGGUUGUAGAUUAAUACUCUGCAAUUUUGACGUUACCGACAGAAUAAGCACCGGCUAACUCUGUGCCAGCAGCCGCCGUAACAC
rnacentral:rRNA from 1 species